rnacentral:rRNA from 1 species
GAAAUUCCAAUCGAACCUGGAGAUAGCUGGUUCUCUCCGAAAUAGCUUUAGGGCUAGCCUCAAGUGAUGAUUAUUGGAGGUAGAGCACUGUUUGGACGAGGGGCCCCUCUCGGGUUACCGAAUUCAGACAAACUCCGAAUGCCAAUUAAUUUAACUUGGGAGUCAGAACAUGGGUGAUAAGGUCCGUGUUCGAAAGGGAAACAGCCCAGACCACCAGCUAAGGUCCCAAAAUAUAUGUUAAGUGGAAAAGGAUGUGGCGUUGCCCAGACAACUAGGAUGUUGGCUUAGAAGCAGCCAUCAUUUAAAGAGUGCGUAAUAGCUCACUAGUCGAGUGACACUGCGCCGAAAAUGUACCGGGGCUAAACAUAUUACCGAAGCUGUGGAUUGUCCUUUGGACAAUGGUAGGAGAGCGUUCUAAGGGCGUUGAAGCAUGAUCGUAAGGACAUGUGGAGCGCUUAGAAGUGAGAAUGCCGGUGUGAGUAGCGAAAGACGGGUGAGAAUCCCGUCCACCGAUUGACUAAGGUUUCCAGAGGAAGGCUCGUCCGCUCUGGGUUAGUCGGGUCCUAAGCUGAGGCCGACAGGCGUAGGCGAUGGAUAACAGGUUGAUAUUCCUGUACCACCUAUAAUCGUUUUAAUCGAUGGGGGGACGCAGUAGGAUAGGCGAAGCGUGCGAUUGGAUUGCACGUCUAAGCAGUAAGGCUGAGUAUUAGGCAAAUCCGGUACUCGUUAAGGCUGAGC